AUUUAAUAGGGAAAGAAGCCAAGGCAAAAUUUAUAUCUGAACGACUGACAAGUGGAGCAGCGCCAUCCAGGUUUUUCGACCCUAUACCAAGGAAUAGAUUGAAAACAAAGGAGGCUGCCAACAAAACAGUAAAGCUAACUGCACCGCAAGGAAAAGUUGUCCAGUAUCAGGAGCAGAGUAAUCUAGCCUUUAUGCUUCUAGUCAAGGCUCAGUCUUCAAACCAUGCCUUAGAUCUGGAUGAACUUAUGCGGUAUCCGCUCACGCCAGUGCCACAUAGCCUUGGUACCCCUGAUGGUUUUUUGUGCAAGACCAAUAAAGCUACCCUUAUGAAUGCAAUUCUACAGGAUGUGGCACCUUCAUCAUCUCCAAAUAAUGCCACAUUAUUUAUACAAGAUGGUAAUGCAUUAUUCCAUGAGCUAACAAACCUUGCACCAACAUUUGGUGAUAUAUGUCUACAGUUAUUAGACAUAAUGGUUUUAAAAAAGGAUUUUGUCUUUUCCACCGAUAGUUAAUUUCCAAACUCAAUAAAAGGACAAGAGAGAAUGUGAAGGGGCUGCUGUCGGAAGUUUAACAUUGAUGGACCGGCAACUCGUCGUCCAGUCGAUUUUAAAGAAUUCUUAUCAAAUGAUGACAACAAGAUGCAGCUUUGUAACCUCUUACUGCGCGUAUGGGGAAGUAAAACGGCAGCAUCCAAACUUAAGAGGUGUGGAACAGCAAUAGUGGUCGUUAGUUGCAGGGCAUACAAAUUGCAAACAACUAACAAUGAGGUGAAGACAGAGGAAAUUCACAGCUUGGCUUCAAAUCAAGAGGAAACAGAUACCAGAGUGGUCCUAUAUAUGCACUAUGGUGCAAAGCUCGGAUACAAGUCUGCCAU